UCGAUCUCGCUCUCUCCAGACUCCAUUCUCCCUUUUCUCUCGCUCUCUCGAAACUCUAGCACAAGCUUCGCUCCAGGCCACCUCCCACCGAUUGUGACGCCAACGACCACCUGGCCACCUCCCUCAUCUGCUCCUCAUUCGCCUGGAUCCGAUCGACGAUCGCUAUCGCACCAUUCCGGGGAUUUCCCACAAUCAUCACUAACGCCGCCAUUCCGGGGAUUUCAGGCCAUUGGUGCUACAAUUGGCGACGGAGGCGGAACAACUAGAGUAUGCUGAGAUCUUGCAUUUUCAGAGAAGGAAGUUCACUGCUUUUGAUGUUUGAAAAAUUCAAGACGCCACUGAUCGAUUAACUGGGAAGAUGAAGCAAAUCUCUCAUGUGCCUAUUGAUCUCAUCAUUUAUUCACCGAAUGUCAUUGUUGUUGCAGUGAACUUAUCUUCGCAUUCUGAAGUAGAAGACUAACUACCACUACUAAACGUGAAUCCUCCUCCGGGGUUCACAACUGCAAUAAGAUCUCUGAUAGCUGACUUUGGCUUGCUAAGCAACCACUGAACAUUUUUGCUUGGUUUAUCAAACCUAAGCAUAUCCUGCAAAUCAAAAAAUCUCCAAGAAACCUCAAGAGAGAGCCUCAUUCUCCGCUUUCUCAACCCCUACGCCGUGUAUAUCUUAUUGUGCUGAUCCAUUCUCACUAGUCUCUUGCGAGAAAAUAUGUAGGCCUAUCUCUGUCCUACAGCCUACCAAGUUUCAAAUGUCUUCAGUUAAGUCCAUAAUUAAAGGUUAAGAACCCAUGGCUCAAUGUUGAUAUACUUAGUGGACUAUCAUUGAACCAUUUCGGUUUAAGUGAAGAUAGGUUCCUGUUAUCAUGAUGUGAUUGAGCAUCCAAUGGACUUUUGGACAAUAAGGAAGAAGCUUGACUUAUGUGAUGAGAUUGAGGAAUUGCUUUAUAGUCUUGUAGAAAACUCACUGCACGAGUGAGCACUAAAAUUAUUAUUAAUUCAUUGGAUGUUUUGUUAUUCUUUUCAUUCAACUUCUACCUAUCUUGUUGAGUUUUGUCUUAAAGUUGUUAGUAAAUUUGUGAUUUUAGUAACAUUUUUGUUCAU